AGGCAGCAGUGGGGAAUAUUGCACAAUGGGGGAAACCCUGAUGCAGCCAUGCCGCGUGUGUGAAGAAGGCCUUCGGGUUGUAAAGCACUUUCAGUAGGGAGGAAGGUAGUGUAGUUAACACCUGCACUAUUUGACGUUACCUACAGAAGAAGCACCGGCUAACUCCGUGCCAGCAGCCGCGGUAAUACGGAGGGUGCGAGCGUUAAUCGGAAUUACUGGGCGUAAAGCGCAUGCAGGCGGCCUGUUAAGUCAGAUGUGAAAGCCCGGGGCUUAACCUCGGAAUUGCAUUUGAAACUGGCAGGCUAGAGUCUUGUAGAGGGGGGUAGGAAUUUCAGGUGUAGCGGUGAAAUGCGUAGAGAUCUGAAGGAAUACCAGUGGCGAAGGCGGCCCCCUGGACAAAGACUGACGCUCAGAUGCGAAAGCGUGGGGAGCAAACAGGAUUAGAUACCCUGGUAG
rnacentral:rRNA from 1 species